UACGGAGGGUGCGAGCGUUGUCCGGAAUCAUUGGGCGUAAAGGGCGCGUAGGUGGCCCGGUCAGUCCGUGGUGAAAGCGCGGGGCUCAACCCCGCGUCGGCCAUGGAUACUGCUGGGCUGGAGCACUGUAGAGGCAGGCGGAAUUCCGGGUGUAGCGGUGGAAUGCGUAGAGAUCCGGAAGAACACCGGUGGCGAAGGCGGCCUGCUGGGCAGUUGCUGACACUGAGGCGCGACGAGCGUGGGGAGCAAACAGG
rnacentral:rRNA from 1 species